rnacentral:rRNA from 1 species
AAUCAACGCUGGCGGCGUGCCUAACACAUGCAAGUCGAACGCGGUUAUCCCGCAAGGGAUAACUGAGUGGCGAACGGGUGAGUAACACGUGGGUGACCUACCUUCGAGUGGGGGAUAACAUCCCGAAAGGGAUGCUAAUACCGCAUAACAUCCCGCCUUUGAACAGGCGGAGAUCAAAGCCGGGGAUCGUAAGACCUGGCGCUUGAUGAGGAGCUUGCGGCAGAUUAGCUAGUUGGUAAGGUAAUGGCUUACCAAGGCUACGAUCUGUAUCCGGUCUAAGAGGACGGUCGGACACACUGACACUGAAUAACGGGUCAGACUCCUACGGGAGGCAGCAGUCGGGAAUUUUGGGCAAUGGGCGAAAGCCUGACCCAGCAACGCCGCGCGAAGGAUGAAGUAUUUCGGUAUGUAAACUU